AGUUUUUUUCAGACAGAUGCUGACUCGUUCAGAUUCGUUUUUGCGAAGAUUCCAACAUCAACUUCCGGCCAAAACUGUAAAGUUCAGAGUUAGUCGCGGUGAAGACGUUGAACUGUCGGCUACACAAUUUCCAGCUGUUCCUUCUAUCAGCGCAGGGACAUUAAACCUGGUAUUAUUUUAACCAUUAUGACUAUUAAACCAAAACAACUGCCAGGCAAUUUGCCUCUUCUCCACUUGACAUUCGUCUACUUUUGUUUGAAGCUUAUAUCAUUUUUUAAACCCUGUGUUGCUGAAAUUGACGUCUACAGCCAGACCUGUCUUCAUUAUGACAUUUGUCUCACGUGGAAUUGGAUGUCAGCUCCAACUUGAAAGACCCUGAAAUUUUAGGGCUGUAUCAUAAUUACAAAAUGGCAAUUAAGACCAAUGCUUCCCCAGAUGAAAUGCUUCCCCAGAUGAAAUGCUUCUCCAGAUGAAAUAUUUUACCAGAUGAAAUGCUUCCCCAGAUGAAAUGCUUCCCCAGAUGAAAUAUUUUACCAGAUGAAAUGCUUCCCCAGAUGAAAUGCUUGUAAAAUGGAGAGAAUCUCAAGGUUCCAAAAUUCAGCCACUUGCACACAUUAA